AUGAGGUAUCUGUGAGUGAGAACACCCCGCCCAGCGCCUACCUGGCCACGGUGGCCGCCCUGGACCCGGACCUGGGCCCCAACGGCCAGGUCACCUACCGGCUGCUGGAGGCCGAGGUGGGCCGCGCCGGGGGCGCUGUGUCCACUUAGGUCUCGGUGGACCCAACCACCAGGAGCUGCGCGCUCGACGGCUCUUUGACUGCGAGGAGCUGGCGGAGAUGCAGCUGCGGUUGGAGGCGCUAGACGGCUGCUCUCAGCCGCUAUGGGGCCUGGCCAUAGUGUGGCUGCAGGUGGAGGACCAGAACUACCACGCGCCCCGCCUGGUGGCCCCACUGCUCUCCCACGGCUCAGCCCAGCUGCCUCUGCCCUGGGAUGCGCCACUGGGCUACCUGCUGACCCGUCUGCAGGCAAAAGACGAGGACUAGGGCGCCGACGUCGAGCCGACUUACUUAGUCCUCGACAGCGACGGCGGCCCCGGG
ensembl:lncRNA novel transcript